rnacentral:rRNA from 1 species
UAGGGAAUCUUCGGCAAUGGGGGCAACCCUGACCGAGCAACGCCGCGUGAGUGAAGAAGGUUUUCGGAUCGUAAAGCUCUGUUGUAAGUCAAGAACGGGUGUGAGAGUGGAAAGUUCACACUGUGACGGUAGCUUACCAGAAAGGGACGGCUAACUACGUGCCAGCAGCCGCGGUAAUACGUAGGUCCCGAGCGUUGUCCGGAUUUAUUGGGCGUAAAGCGAGCGCAGGCGGUUUGAUAAGUCUGAAGUUAAAGGCUGUGGCUCAACCAUAGUUCGCUUUGGAAACUGUCAAACUUGAGUGCAGAAGGGGAGAGUGGAAUUCCAUGUGUAGCGGUGAAAUGCGUAGAUAUAUGGGGGGAACACCGGUGGCGAAAGCGGCUCUCUGGUCUGUAACUGACGCUGAGGCUCGAAAGCGUGGGGAGCGAACAGGAUUAGAU